CCAGAGAACUUAGCAGAGAUGCUUUGGUGCCUUCGGGGAACUCUGAGACAGGUGCUGCAUGGCUGUCGUCAGCUCGUGUUGUGAAAUGUUGGGUUAAGUCCCGCAACGAGCGCAACCCUUAUCCUUUGUUGCCAGCGGCUCGGCCGGGAACUCAAAGGAGACUGCCGGUGAUAAACCGGAGGAAGGUGGGGAUGACGUCAAGUCAUCAUGGCCCUUACGGCCAGGGCUACACACGUGCUACAAUGGCGCAUACAAAGAGAAGCGACCUCGCGAGAGCAAGCGGACCUCAUAAAGUGCGUCGUAGUCCGGAUUGGAGUCUGCAACUCGACUCCAUGAAGUCGGAAUCGCUAGUAAUCGUAGAUCAGAAUGCUACGGUGAAUACGUUCCCGGGCCUUGUACACACCGCCCGUCACACCAUGGGAGUGGGUUGCAAAAGAAGUAGGUAGCUUAACCUUCGGGAGGGCGCUUACCACUUUGUGAUUCAUGACUGGGGUGAAGUCGUAACAAGGUAAGCGUAGCGAG
rnacentral:rRNA from 1 species